UACGUAGGGGGCUAGCGUUGUCCGGAAUCAUUGGGCGUAAAGCGCGUGUAGGCGGUCCGGUAAGUCCGCUGUGAAAGUCGGGGGCUCAACCCUCGGAUGCCGGUGGAUACUGUCGGGCUUGAGUACGGAAGAGGCGAGUGGAAUUCCUGGUGUAGCGGUGAAAUGCGCAGAUAUCGGGAGGAACACCAGUAGCGAAGGCGGACACUCUGGGCCGGUACUGGACGCUGAGGAGCGAAAGCGUGGGGAGCAAAC
rnacentral:rRNA from 1 species